UCUUAGUUUAUGAGUGAGGACUUUCUCCAAGAUCCAGCAGACUAGACUUACAGGAACUGGUGUACGGCAGGGAGCAAGGAUCAUUUCUUCUAACAUGCUUUCUGUCACCUGCUUAAUUCUUAUGAUCUUCUUAAUAUUCGGAAGGAGCAAUGGAGACUCAGUGACUCAGACAGAAGGUCCGAUUUCUCUCUCUGAAGGGACAUCUCUGAUUCUGAACUGCACUUACCAGGUUAGCGGCUUUCAAACUGUGAACAUUUUCUGGUAUAUCCAGUAUCUCAAUAAAGCUCCUCAACUACUCCUGAAAAGCUCAAGAGAAAAACAGAGGACAGAGAAUCAAGGUUUUUAUGCUGAUUUUGUUGAGAGCAAGAGCUCCUUCCACCUGCAGAAACCCUCCGUGCAAACGUCAGACUCGGCUGUGUACUACUGCGCUCUGAGAGACACAGUGAGAGGGACUCCUGGGGGAGCUGAGCACAAACCAGAGUGGGCAGAUGGGGCCUGGGCGUGGGAAGUCCUCUUAGAGUUAUAUUAUCUCCCUGUGCAUUGUUUUCCAAAGGAGAUGAACACAUCUUAUGUCUAAUUCCUAGGAGAUUGUGAAGUGCUCUGCAGGAAAGACAGGGUGAUGUCAGUGAUAAAAUGAAUCCAAGCUUCGGUCUCCAGAAAUGUCCAUGCUGAGACAGCAAGGCUUCUCUCUCUUUCAGACUGUAAACCCUUCCAUAAAACAUACUACUAAGAAAACCUUGACCUGGGAUCAAUGUCUACCAAGAUAUUUUAGCCACUUAGCUAUUUAACAUGGCCACGGAUUUGUGCUCUUUAUGAAAGCAUUUAGGAACCGAGUGAGGGACAUGGAAUCUGGUCUGUAUCAUCUUGAGUAAGUCUCUGCAGCUAAGAUAGGCUUUGCCUCUCCCCGUUCUCCUUGCUGCAGAAAGUUCAGCUCAACUUCCCAUCUAGGUCUCACUUCAUGAAGCUGCUCA